AGCAAGUUGCUAGAGUGGCCUGCCACAGUGUAAGUUUUGUUCUUUAGCUCUUUGCAAUAAAUCUUGCUACUGCCCACUCUUUGGGUUUACACUGCAUUUAUGAGCUGUAACACUCAUGGUGAAGAUUUACAGGUUCAGUCCUGAAGCCAGCGAGACAAAGAACCCACUGGGAAGAACAAACAACUCCAGACGCCCCAACUUAAGAGCUGUUAACACCCGAAGAUCUGCAGCUUCACUUUUGAGCCAGCGAGACCACGAACCCACCAGAAGGAAGAAACUCUGAACAGGCUGGAACGUCAGAAGGAACAAACUCAGGACAUGCCACCUUUAAGAACUGUAACACUCACUGUGAGGGUCUGCGGCUUCAUUCUUGAAGGCUGUGAGACCAAGAACCCACCAAUUUCGGACACACUGGGACCACCCUCGCUGACUGGAGGUGGUACGGUUCAUCUGGACCAGCCUCUGAUGUGGGGAAGACCAAGCGAGAGCACACUGCGGAGAGCCCAAAAGUCAGAUGUCCUGGCUUAAGCUGCUGAAG
rnacentral:lncRNA from 1 species